rnacentral:misc_RNA from 1 species
GAUGAAGAACGCAGCGAAAUGCGAUAAGUAAUGUGAAUUGCAGAAUUCCGUGAAUCAUCGAAUCUUUGAACGCACAUUGCGCCCCCUGGUAUUCCGGGGGGCAUGCCUGUCCGAGCGUCAUUGCAACCCUCAAGCGCGGCUUGUGUGUUGGGCUUCGUCCCCCCGUGGACGUGCCCGAAAGGCAGUGGCGGCGUCCCGAAUGGUGCCCGAGCGUAUGGGAACUCUCUUCCGCUCGAACCGGCCCAUUCGGCGCUGGUCGAACCCCAAUUUUUUUUACCGGUUGACCUCGGAUCAGGUAGGGAUACCCGCUGAACUUAAGCAUAUCAAUAAGCGGAGA